rnacentral:rRNA from 1 species
GAUGCAGCGACGCCGCGUGAGGGAUGAAGGCUUUCGGGUUGUAAACCUCUUUCAGUAGGGAAGAAGCUGGUCUUUCGGGGUUGGUGACGGUACCUGCAGAAGAAGCGCCGGCUAACUACGUGCCAGCAGCCGCGGUAAUACGUAGGGCGCAAGCGUUAUCCGGAAUUAUUGGGCGUAAAGAGCUCGUAGGCGGUUUGUCGCGUCUGCCGUGAAAGUCCGGGGCUUAACUCCGGAUCUGCGGUGGGUACGGGCAGACUAGAGUGCAGUAGGGGAGACUGGAAUUCCUGGUGUAGCGGUGAAAUGCGCAGAUAUCAGGAGGAACACCGAUGGCGAAGGCAGGUCUCUGGGCUGUAACUGACGCUGAGGAGCGAAAGCAUGGGGAGCGAACAGGAUUAGAUACCCUGGUAGUCCAUGCCGUAAACGUUGGGCACUAGGUGUGGGGGACAUUCCACGUUUUCCGCGCCGUAGCUAACGCAUUAAGUGCCCCGCCUGGGGAGUACGGCCGCAAGGCUAAAACUCAAAGGAAUUGACGGGGGCCCGCACAAGCGGCGGAGCAUGCGGAUUAAUUCGAUGCAACGCGAAGAACCUUACCAAGGCUUGACAUGAACCGGAAUGAUGCAGAGAUGUGUCAGCCACUUGUGGCCGGUUUACAUGGUGGUGCAUGGUGUCGUCAGCUCGUGUC